rnacentral:tRNA from 1 species
GCAACAGAAACUCAUUGGUAGGGCGCUAGAGGUGUUGGUUCGAUUCCAACCUGUUGCA